UAAUUGUUUUUUUUUUUCAUACGUUGUACAGAAACCUGUUUAAUAAGACUUGUAGGACACAAUUUUAGAAAACGUAUGUAUCUAAGCAGGGUUUCUGUCAAUUUAAAAACAGCACUUAAAUAAUUCAUAAACUCUGAAGUCAUCUAACAUCCAAGUUGGUGGGUCUAUAACACUCACAGCAGACUUUGAAACGUGUACACAGACGAGAGACAACUGAAAUUGCAGCGUCUUAAAUGACAUUCCACGUCCCCACAUGUAGUGGUGCGGCCACGCCCACAUUAACAGUCGGUGAAUAGAAGAAUAACUGCAACAACUGUGUAUCCACUUCCACUUUCAUUCCACUGAUGUUUAACAGCAAAGGUGAAAUUGCCACUGACUUGAAAUAUAUUUUUUGUUCACUACUUAGCCCUGACGGUUUUCGUGUUAAAAAAAAA